rnacentral:tRNA from 1 species
CGGAGGGGUGGCCGAGUGGCUGAAGGCGGCGGUUUGCUAAAUCGUUAAAGGAAGAAAUUCCUUUCGGGGUUCGAAUCCUUCCCUCCGCC